rnacentral:rRNA from 1 species
UACGUAGGUGGCAAGCGUUAUCCGGAUUUAUUGGGCGUAAAGAGAACGCAGGCGGUCUUUUAAGUCUGAUGUGAAAGCCUUCGGCUUAACCGGAGUAGUGCAUUGGAAACUGGGAGACCUGAGUGCAGAAGAGGAGAGUGGAACUCCAUGUGUAGCGGUGAAAUGCGUAGAUAUAUGGAAGAACACCAGUGGCGAAAGCGGCUCUCUGGUCUGUAACUGACGCUGAGGUUCGAAAGCGUGGGUAGCAAACAGG